rnacentral:rRNA from 1 species
UACGAAGGGGGCUAGCGUUGUUCGGAAUCACUGGGCGUAAAGCGCACGUAGGCGGCUUGUUAAGUCAGAGGUGAAAGCCUGGAGCUCAACUCCAGAACUGCCUUUGAUACUGGCAAGCUCGAGGAUGGCAGAGGUUGGUGGAACUCCGAGUGUAGAGGUGAAAUUCGUAGAUAUUCGGAAGAACACCAUUGGCGAAGGCGGCCAACUGGGCCAUUACUGACGCUGAGGUGCGAAAGCGUGGGGAGCAAACAGG